GGGAUGACUUGUGGAUAGCGGAGAAAUUCCAAUCGAACUCGGAGAUAGCUGGUUCUCCUCGAAAUAGUUUUAGGACUAGCCUUGUUUAGUAGUACGUGGGGGUAGAGCACUGAAGGAGCUAGGGGCCAAACCAGGUUACCGAACUCUAUCAAACUCCGAAUACCAUGUGCGUAAGAACAGGAGUCAGACUACGGGAGCUAAGUUCCGUGGUCAAAAGGGAAAGAGCCCAGACCGCCAAUUAAGGUCCCAAAGAUAUAGUUAAGUGGAAAACGAUGUGAUUUUGCGUAAACAACCAGGAUGUUGGCUUAGAAGCAGCCAUUCAUUUAAAGAGUGCGUAAUAGCUCACUGGUCGAGAGACUCUGCGCCGAAAAUGUCCGGGGCUAAAGUGUAAAACCGAAGUCGUGUCAUAUGCAGCAAUGUAUAUGGGUAGGGGAGCGUUCUCAUCGGGCUGAAGCAGUACCGUAAGGAGUUGUGGACUGAUGAGAAGUGAGAAUGUCGGUAUGAGUAGCGAAAAGAAUGGUGAGAAUCCAUUCCACCGAAAGCCUAAGGGUUCCUGAGCAACGAUCGUCGUCUCAGGGUAAGUCGGGACCUAAGGAGAGGCCGAAAGGCGUACCCGAUGGACAGCAGGUAGAAAUUCCUGCACCACCGAUAUACUUAAAAGAUGCAAGGGACACAGGAGUGGAAGGAAAGCGAGGAAGAGGAAAAACUCGUAUCGAAAGAUAUAGUGAAAAAUGAAGUAACGAAUUUCCAAGAAGCACACUGGCGAGAAAAGCUUGUAGAUAUUGUAUAAAGGUGCCCGUACCGCAAACCGACACAGGUAGAUGAGGAGAGGAUCCUAAGAUGAGCGAGAGAAGCAUUGUUAAGGAACUCGGCAAAUUGACCCCGUAACUUAGGGAGAAGGGGUACCAAUGUAAAAGUUGGUCGCAGAGAAGAGGCCCAAGCAACUGUUUAACAAAAACACAGGUUUCUGCUAAAUCGAAAGAUGAAGUAUAGGAGCUGACGCCUGCCCAGUGCUGGAAGGUUAAGGGGAGAGGUAAUCUCUCGAGGAGAAGCUUUGAACCAAAGCCCCAGUGAACGGCGGCCGUAACUAUAACGGUCCUAAGGUAGCGAAAUUCCUUGUCAGGUAAGUUCUGACCCGCACGAA
rnacentral:rRNA from 1 species